rnacentral:rRNA from 1 species
AACGAACGUUAGCGGCGCGCUUAAUACAUGCAAGUCGAGCGAGAAAGGGCUUCGGCCCCAGUAAAGCGGCGCACGGGUGAGUAACACGUAGGUUACCUACCCUCGGGUGGUGGAUAACAGUUCGAAAGGACUGCUAAUACAGCAUAACACCGAAAGGUCAAAGUGGGCCUCUCUAUAGAAGCUCACGCCUGAGGAUGGGCCUGCGGCGCAUCAGCUUGUUGGUGGGGUAAUGGCCUACCAAGGCAAAGACGCGUAGCUGGUCUGAGAGGAUGAACAGCCACACUGGAACUGAGACACGGUCCAG